rnacentral:lncRNA from 1 species
UGUUAUGUGCUAACCAAUCAGGUCAUGCUAUAUAUCGUGUCAACAGUAUACAUACCAUGUGAUUAUCAUAGAGGUAUAAAGAGUGUUUUUAAGGAAUGAACCUGUGUUAUGUGCUAACCAAUCAGGUCAUGCUAUAUAUCGUGUCAACAGUAUACAUACCAUGUGAUUAUCAUAGAGGUAUAAAGAGUGUUUUUAAGGAAUAAACCAGUGUUAUGUGCUACCCAAUCAGGUCAUGAUGUAUAUUGUGGGAAUAGCCCAGUAUACUGCAAUAUUAUACUUCAAAUGCUACUAAUUUGAUAUAUAUAUAUAUAUAUAUGUGUGUGUGUGUUUAAAUAAUAUAUAUAAAAAGAGUACUAUAUGAAUUAGAU